rnacentral:tRNA from 1 species
GGAUAAGGCGUCUGACUUCUAAUCAGAAGAUUGCAGGUUCGAGCCCUGCCUGGGUCA